ACCUCCUGGAUGCCAGCCACUCCCGCGGUGGGAGGGAUGACGCAUUUCGGUGUGUAAACUCCUUUUAUAUAGGAAGAUAAUGACGGUACUAUAUGAAUAAGCACCGGCUAACUCCGUGCCAGCAGCCGCGGUAAU
rnacentral:rRNA from 1 species